rnacentral:snRNA from 1 species
CUAAUAUUUUCGUGCUAGGUUUACUGAAAUUGGAAAGAUACUGAGAAAAUUAGCAUUGCCGUGAACGAGGAUGGCACGCAAGAUUGUAAAACGUUCUACAUUUUU